AGAGCAAACUUGAAGGUAUGGAUAAGGCCCUGAGUCAUCUUCCUGAGCUGAAUGAUAGUUAAGCUGAAUGUACGUAUAAAAUAUGAUUUUCUAACCACUUGCUCGCCAACAAGGAAAACUUUUAAGUAGAGCAGAACCUGAAUAGACAAGACAUUUCUUUCUUUUGGUAGAAAAUGAUUUACCAUUACUGUCUAGUUAAUUGUAGACUAGGUAAUUUUAACUUUGUGAUUUAUUGCCGGAGACAUUUUCUUCUGUACUGUAAAGUGUGUGUCAAAAAAAAAUAGCGAUUUUGGAGGAUUAGAGGAGUUUGAUAAAUUGCCUGCAAUUCUGGCAGUAUGAACUGCAUAUUAAUUUCUCUCUUUCAAGAACAUUUUUAUUUAUUAAUUCCUUACAAAAACUCCCUAAACUUUGGAACAGCUCUCAAUUGCCUGUAUUCUUUUUUUUCUUAUUAUGAUACUCUUCUAGAGAUUUGGCUUGCAUCUAUGAAUAAGCCAGGACAUCUUCAGAAAUUGUCUGAUUAAAAACACCACCAAUGGAGUUUCAUUAAAUUUGUAUUGCUCUGACUAGUGAAACACACACAUCUAUGUUGCUGAGGAUAUUUUACUGCAGUUUUAGUUGUAAUAAUAGCUCUGUUUAAGAUCCGUCAGUCACUUGAAUCUUCUCUAAGGCUUUGUAUGUUAGAAGUUAAUUUGCUUUCUUACAAGGCCACAUUCUAUCUUGUAACUAAACAACUGAAUUUUAUGUCUUAGCGUAGAUGGUUUAUUACUUUCUGGUUUUUCUUUAGUAAGAAUCCUAUAAAAACACUAGUAUUUUUCUCUGAGUUUAAAAUUCAACACAUGCCUACUGAUAUGAUUAGGCUUUGUAUCCCCACCUGAAUCUCAUCUUGAAUUGUAAUCCCCAUAGCCCCCAUAAUCCCCGCAGGUCAAGGGAGAGACCAGGUGGAGGUAAUUGAAUCAUGGGGGCAGUUUCUCCUGUGCUGUUCUUGUGAUAGUGAGUUCUCACGAGAUUUGAUGGUUUUAUAAGGGAUUCUUUCCCCUUUGCUCGGCACUUCUUCAUGCUGCCUUGCGAAGAAGCUGGCUUGCUUCCUCUUUGUCUUCCGGCAUGAUUGUAGAUUUCCUGAGGCCUCCCAAGCGGUGCUGAACUACCAAACCAAUGCAGACCAAACCAAUGCAGAACUCCUAUGUGCUGAUGGUGGUCUUACGUUUCCCUAAGUUUCUGCCGACUAAACUGUGCACACGUUCUCAGGACCUCCUGAAGCUGCGUCACAGGCACUAAUCAAAGAACACAACCAAGAGUUUGGCCUUUUCUUCAGCACUGGGAAUUGUGAUCCAAAGCUUUCCCGGAUGAAGCACAAAGUUGGAGAAACAAAACGCAAACUAAACAACAACAAUGAAACAGAACAGAGUUAAUCUGCUGUAGCUCAAGAGAGGACGUACCUGCCCCCACCCCGCAUCCCUGGGCUCGGGUUUGCCUUGCUGACCUCUGCUGCCACCUGGUGCCACACAGAGAAACUGUGGAGAAACCACAUCAGUCUCCUUCAGCCUCAGCUUCACAUCUGUGGGUCAAGUAACCCUUUCAGAAGCUGUAUAAUGUGGGAAAGCUUUCCUCUCAGGAAAAUGCACACAUCUAACUUUGAGAAGAUGCCCUUGGGGGCGCUUCAAGGAUCCUAGAUAAAGAACCCCCUUUCCCGAACAUCC